rnacentral:rRNA from 1 species
GGGCACGACACCGGAGAGGGAGCCUGAGAAACGGCUACCACAUCCAAGGAUGGCAGCAGGCGCGCAAAUUACCCAAUCCCGACACGGGGAGGUAGUGACAAUAAAUAACAAUACGGGGUUCUUUCGGAUCUCGUAAUUGGAAUGAGUACAAUUUAAAUCUCUUAACGAGGAACAAUUGGAGGGCAAGUCUGGUGCCAGCAGCCGCGGUAAUUCCAGCUCCAAUAGCGUAUAUUAAAGUUGUUGCAGUUAAAAAGCUCGUAGUUGAAUUUCGGGGUUAGUAGGUUGGUCAUGCCUCUGGUAUGUACUGGUCUCACUGAUUCCUCCUUCCUGAUGAACCGUAAUGCCAUUAAUUUGGUGUUGCGGGGAAUUUGGACUGUUACUUUGAAAAAAUUAGAGUGUUUAAAGCAAGCUAACGCUUGAAUACAUUAGCAUGGAAUAAUGAAAUAGGACGUUCGAUCCUAUUUUGUUGGUUUCUAGGAUUGACGUAAUGAUUAAUAGGGAUAGUUGGGGGCAUUAGUAUUCAAUUGUCAGAGGUGAAAUUCUUGGAUUUAUUGAAGACUAACUACUGCGAAAGCAUUUGCCAAGGAUGUUUUCAUUAAUCAAGAACGAAAGUUAGGGGAUCGAAGACGAUCAGAUACCGUCGUAGUCUUAACCAUAAACUAUGCCGACUAGGGAUCGGAUGAUGUUAAUUUUUUAAUGACUCAUUCGGCGCCUUACGGGAAACCAAAG